rnacentral:rRNA from 1 species
UACGUAGGGGGCAAGCGUUGUCCGGAUUUAUUGGGCGUAAAGAGCGUGUAGGCGGCUUUACAGGUCCGUUGUGAAAACUCGAGGCUCAACCUCCGAGACGCCGGGUGGAAACCGUAAAGCUAGAGUCCGGAAGAGGAGAGGCGGAAUUCCUGGUGUAGCGGUGAAAUGCGCAGAUAUCAGGAGGAACACCCGUGGCGAAAGCGGCUCUCUGGGACGGUACUG